rnacentral:tRNA from 1 species
CGAGCAGUAGCUCAGUGGUACAGCUCCCGCUUCGUGUCCGGGAAGGCCUGGGUUCGAUUCCCGGCUGCUUAC